GAGACUUCCAGCCACAUGGAUGAGACAGUGACAGGACUGUCACUGAGUCAGAACAAUUAAAGAUCAUUUUCAGUUAAGUAUACAAGAGGACAAUCACUGAUAGAUCCAAACCCCACCAAGCAGAGAGAGCUUCAGAAAGAAGAUGCUGUGAUCAAUGUAUUUAAAUCUCAUUUGGAAAAGGUCGUUGGUGUGAAAUGGAAGAAAAAAAAUCCUAUCGGUAUGGGUUAAGGAUAGAAAGUCUCAGCUGCAGCUGCAAGAAACCAAGGCAUGCUAAGCUGAAAGAAGGCACAAAGCCAAAGGAGAGAUGAAUGGAUGACAGCUGGCCAUAAGAGAGAUGUUAGUCAAAUUCCACAGGAUUAAAUGGCUGUGAAUCAGAGGUGUCAAGGUCCACUCCCAAGAUUCCAAAGAGCAACUUUUAGUCUUACAAGAAAAGUCGGUGAGGAGAGGGAUAAGUGAGAGGCCUGCUGGAAGAAAGAGGAAGUAAUUUUUCCUAGCAGAGGUGAAAUUGGUUCUUGGUAUUCCUUCACAAUAAUGAGUGACUAUUUUGUUGGCCAGGAUUGGAUUAGCCCAAGGGUAUUUAGAGAUCUAUGUAUCUCAUUGGGUCAUCUGCAUUUUACUGAGGAAUAGGAAGAUUAAUUGCAGGCACCUGCCAGUCUGGUCAUCCCACUUAAUGCAACCAAGCCCAGGAAGUCCUCUCACAUUCCAGAAACUGCUCAGUCUGCUGCUUUGAUGAAGUUUGCCCCAUCUGUCUGGAAAAAGGCAGUUCAGGCCACAUUUUUCCCACGCAACAGAAAAAGCCAAUCUCAACAAAGCUAGAAGUUUGUCCUAAAAAUCUGGAAGAUUACUUAAGAGAUAUUUCAGCAACCUACAUCUUCAGUAAGCCUCCCCAGAAACAGAUUAAAAGAGGAGAAAUUACAACUGAUACCGAAGAAAUACAAGGGAUCA